rnacentral:rRNA from 1 species
GACGAACGCUGGCGGCGUGCCUAAUACAUGCAAGUCGAGCGAAGUUUUUCUGGUGCUUGCACUAGAAAAACUUAGCGGCGAACGGGUGAGUAACACGUAAAGAACCUGCCUCAUAGACUGGGACAACUAUUGGAAACGAUAGCUAAUACCGGAUAACAGUAUUUCUCGCAUGAGAGAUAUUUAAAGGUUGGUUAUGCUAACACUAUGAGAUGGCUUUGCGGUGCAUUAGCUAGUUGGUGGGGUAAAGGCCUACCAAGGCGACGAUGCAUAGCCGACCUGAGAGGGUGAUCGGCCACACUGGGACUGAGACACGGCCCAAACUCCUACGGGAGGCAGCAGUAGGGAAUCUUCCGCAAUGGGCGAAAGCCUGACGGAGCAACGCCGCGUGAGUGAAGAAGGAUUUCGGUUCGUAAAGCUCUGUUGUUAGGGAAGAAUGGAUAUGUAGUAACUAUACAUGUAAGAGACGGUA